GAUGAACGCUGGCGGCGUGCCUAAUACAUGCAAGUCGAGCGACCAGACGAGGAGCUUGCUCCUCUGACGUUAGCGGCUGACGGGCGAGUAACACGUGGAUCACCUACCUCUUUGUCUGGGAUAACUUCGUGAAACCGGUGCUACUACCGGCUCAUAUAUCCUACCGCUUGGUGCAAUAGUUAUUCACGGUUUUCCUGUCACUUAUAGCUGGUUCCGCGUCGCCUUAGCUAGUUGGUAAGGUAACGGCCUACCAAGGCAACGAUGCGUAGCCGACCUGAGAGGGUGAUCAGCCACACUGGAACUGAGACACGGUCCAGAAUCCUAAGGGAGGCAGCAGUAGGGAAUAUUGCACAAUGGGCGAAAGCCUGACGAAGCAACGCCGCGUGAGUGAUGAAGGUCUUCGGAUCGUAAAACACUGUUGUUGGGAAAGAAAAAAAGUGUAAGUAACUAUGCACGUCUUGAAGGUACCUAAACAAAAAGCAACGGCUAACUACGUG
rnacentral:rRNA from 1 species